AUGUUCUCUUUGGCAGCAGAUACACUAAAAUUCGAAUCAUACAGAGAAGAUUAGCAUGGCACCUGCACAAG
rnacentral:snRNA from 1 species